AGAGUUUGAUCAUGGCUCAGGACGAACGCUGGCGGCGUGCCUAAUACAUGCAAGUCGAGCGAGCGGAACUAACAGAUUUACUUCUGUAAUGACGUUAGGAAAGCGAGCGGCGGAUGGGUGAGUAACACGUGGGGAACCUGCCCCAUAGUCUGGGAUACCACUUGGAAACAGGUGCUAAUACCGGAUAAGAAAGCAGAUCGCAUGAUCAGCUUUUAAAAGGCGGCGUAAGCUGUCGCUAUGGGAUGUCCCCGCGGUGCAUUAGCUAGUUGGUAAGGUAAAGGCUUACCAAGGCGAUGAUGCAUAGCCGAGUUGAGAGACUGAUCGGCCACAUUGGGACUGAGACACGGCCCAAACUCCUACGGGAGGCAGCAGUAGGGAAUCUUCCACAAUGGACGCAAGUCUGAUGGAGCAACGCCGCGUGAGUGAAGAAGGUUUUCGGAUCGUAAAGCUCUGUUGUUGGUGAAGAAGGAUAGAGGUAGUAACUGGCCUUUAUUUGACGGUAAUCAACCAGAAAGUCACGGCUAACUACGUGCCAGCAGCCGCGGUAAUACGUAGGUGGCAAGCGUUGUCCGGAUUUAUUGGGCGUAAAGCGAGCGCAGGCGGAAGAAUAAGUCUGAUGUGAAAGCCCUCGGCUUAACCGAGGAACUGCAUCGGAAACUGUUUUUCUUGAGUGCAGAAGAGGAGAGUGGAACUCCAUGUGUAGCGGUGGAAUGCGUAGAUAUAUGGAAGAACACCAGUGGCGAAGGCGGCUCUCUGGUCUGCAACUGACGCUGAGGCUCGAAAGCAUGGGUAGCGAACAGGAUUAGAUACCCUGGUAGUCCAUGCCGUAAACGAUGAGUGCUAAGUGUUGGGAGGUUUCCGCCUCUCAGUGCUGCAGCUAACGCAUUAAGCACUCCGCCUGGGGAGUACGACCGCAAGGUUGAAACUCAAAGGAAUUGACGGGGGCCCGCACAAGCGGUGGAGCAUGUGGUUUAAUUCGAAGCAACGCGAAGAACCUUACCAGGUCUUGACAUCUAGUGCCAUUUGUAGAGAUACAAAGUUCCCUUCGGGGACGCUAAGACAGGUGGUGCAUGGCUGUCGUCAGCUCGGGUCGUGAGAUGUUGGGUUAAGUCCCGCAACGAGCGCAACCCUUGUUAUUAGUUGCCAGCAUUAAGUUGGGCACUCUAAUGAGACUGCCGGUGACAAACCGGAGGAAGGUGGGGAUGACGUCAAGUCAUCAUGCCCCUUAUGACCUGGGCUACACACGUGCUACAAUGGGCAGUACAACGAGAAGCGAGCCUGCGAAGGCAAGCGAAUCUCUGAAAGCUGUUCUCAGUUCGGACUGCAGUCUGCAACUCGACUGCACGAAGCUGGAAUCGCUAGUAAUCGCGGAUCAGCACGCCGCGGUGAAUACGUUCCCGGGCCUUGUACACACCGCCCGUCACACCAUGGGAGUCUGCAAUGCCCAAAGCCGGUGGCCUAACCUUCGGGAAGGAGCCGUCUAAGGCAGGGCAGAUGACUGGGGUGAAGUCGUAACAAGGUAGCCGUAGGGGAACCUGCGGCUGGAUCACCUCCUU
rnacentral:rRNA from 1 species